GCCUGGCUGGCUCAGUUGGUAGAGCAUGUAACUUCUGAUCUCAGGGUCCUGAGUUUGAGCCCCAUGCUGGGCA